GCAAGUAUUUAUUGGAAGGGCAGAAGAAACCAGGAAGAAAUCAGUUGUCAAGCCUUCUCUGGCUCUCCUUUCCCAAGAUUUCUCUGAGCUGGGGCCAAACAGCUCCUUCUGCAUCUCUCCAGGCCAGGGCUUGGAUGUGUUGCUGCCUGCAGCUCCUGUGAGCCUGGGAGAAGGGAGUGGGGAGUAACACAGACACAGUUUUGAUGGAAAAAUGUGCUUUGUGUGUUUAGCUUGGGAGGGGGGGUGUUAAUCAUUUGCAUGAGCUAUUUAGUUCUCAGAAUUAUUUCUCUGAAAUUCAUUAACAGGAUUUCUACUGCUGUUUUCUUUCUGGAAUGCUUCUUGAUGUUCUUGUGUCAGCCAGAGCUUUCUCCUCUGUUGCAGAUAAGAGCAAUGGCCAGAACAUGGAACUAUUCCUGUGAGUCAAGACUUCAGCAAUACCUUGAUAUUUGUGAAUUAUGCAGAAUUUGCUUAUAAUACACAGACUUAUCCAGCUCUAUUGCCUAGAGAAAAACACAUUUUAUCAUCACUAUUCAUGCCUUCCAUUCUUGACACCUCUUUGAAAGCACAAGAAGUGCUGCCUUGUGUAACAUUGUGGUCAUCCGCUCUAGGGAGAGAUUCCUGCUACAUUAUGAGUUGGUGGUAAGCCUUACUUUCUGGCAUAAUAAAAAUAGAUGGUCUGUCAAAAGAUGAUGUUCUCAAUGCUUUGUUUUGUAGUUCUAUCCUGCCAUCUUCUCUGAAUUAGCAAAUGUGAAAUGCAGCAUAUGGAUUUAUGAAAAGAAAAGUGCAAGAUGUGAAAUAUCCUGAGUAUCUGGAUCUUCGAACAUACGCAUCUCAAUCCGUUGGAGAACCACUCCUCUAUGCCUUAUAUGCAGUCCUGGUAUAUAGAGGUGUCAGUAGUCAUGCAGGACGUUAUUUCUGCUACACAAAGAAAGUGUGCAGUUCCUCUGAAGACAUGGCUGCUUUUAUUUGCAGGCUGCUGGUAGACUUUGAUAUGAGAUGAAUGAUGCCUCUGUAGUCUUUUGUGAAAUCAAAAUGGUUCUCAGUCAGCAAGCUUAUUUACUUUUUAAUAUCAGAAAUCAAGUCAUUUAAAUGGAAAUGAACCCCUAAAAGAAGAUCCAAAUACCAUUGCUGUUACCCUAGAAAGGCCUUCUUCGGCUCCACCAACAGCUUGUGUUCAAAACUAGGCAAUUACCAGGCCUUUAUUUGCUGAUCCCUCAGAAAAACAAAAGAUCACUUCAUAACAAACUGCCUGCACAUCAAACUGUCUCAGCCUGACUGUUUUAGCAGUGCUGUGGUGGAUGAGGAUCUAAACAAGCCUGUUCCUUCAUCCACAGUGUGGCGGACAGAUGAGUGAAUUUUUGCCUUAAACAUUUCUUGGUACAUAAGGUGAAAGCCUUCCUGCGCACAUUGCAGAUUUUGCAGGAAACCAUAACCCCGAACAAGCCAUCUGUUCCCUGUGGAAACAGGACGGAGCUGCUGCAACCCCGAAAUGGUCUCCCUGCGACCACUCAGGACACACCGAGCCUGCGAAAAACCAGACCACGAUCAGGCAGAGACUUUUGGACCUGGAGUGUAAAUUAUUGCUGCUUAGCACAACUUCCAUAAAACUUGCUUAGCAUGAGCAGCUAAAUUUGCUGAAGCCUUAGGCCGCACUCCUAGUUCAGUCAGAAAGGGCCCCAGAGCUGGUGCAGGCUGGAAAGAUAAGGGAGUUACAAGCAGUCCGCAUUCCUGUGCCCCACACUCCGGGAGGGAGGAGGUCAAGGCUUUGAAAUAAGGCCUGCUUGGGCGCCAGGACCCUGGGAAACAAAGCCUCCUCUCACUGCUGAAACAGUGUUAAUUGGGGUGGGGGGGGUCUGGACUAUCUCCCCCUUGUCAGGACCUUGGGAGAUAACACCUACUGUCACUGCUGGGGCAGUGUUAAUUGCUGGAAUUACUAUCUCCGGGUCGUCAGGACCUUGAGAGACAACGGUGGGACCCAAGGAAUGAAGACACCUCUGUCAGCAGAAACCGCAACAGGAAAGAUAAACAGCCUGCCUAGGGACAGUGAUGAGACCCAAUGAGCAGCAUGGGACCCCAGACCUGAAUAUUACUAUUGGUCUGAAUUACUGCGUGAGGGGUGGAGAGCUUAGACUGGAAAGUUAUAAUUGCCCAGGGAUUUCUUUGUUUGUGGUCCCUCUUCGGAGGCACCCGGCUCGAGCUGCAAUUACUGCACGCGCGUCAUUACAAUUUAUUUAUUUAAUUUGCCUUGAUUUGGCCCUGAACUUUUCCAAGACACCCAGGGUGAAGAGGAUCAAUGAGACACCGCUGGAUCCACGGGUGGUGAUCUCUCUUUCUUUCUCUCUCUCUUUCUGUCUCUCUCCUUCCUCUCUUUUGAUGAAAGUUUAUAAGAUCUGUUCAAAUCGUGUGGCACGGGACUUGUUUAUCUAGUUAAGGUAGCCAUCAUCGAGUUAUCAUAUUUAGCCACAUGCCUUGUCUUUUGUAUUAAUAAAUCAUAAAACUGAUUGGUUGGCUGGCAUCAUUUCACCUUAGUUCAGUCCAAGAGCAUCACGAACUUGGUUGUUGGUCCCAAGGAGAGGGAAGUCGUCCUAAACGACUGCUUUCGGGCUGUGACACACAGUUGCAAACUCUUCUGCAGCAGAGUCUAGCUCAGAUGCAUCCACCAUGUCAAUUGCUACUAACAUCU